rnacentral:lncRNA from 1 species
GGUGAAAUUACAGGGUUGUAUUGAUUUGCAUUUCUCUUAUUAUUAAUGAUUAAGAACAUUCAUGUGGUUGUUAAUAAUUUGUGAUUCUCUUGAGAAUUAUUUGUUCAUACACAAUGGGAUUUGAAUGUAUCAAUGAGAUGUACCUAUGCCUUGAUCCCUUUUUGAGGCGUGAAUAUUUCUUUGAUUAGGUCAAGAAAGGAAUAGCCUUGAAUGACUGAGUAAAGAAGUUAACCCCUUCUUUAUGGACUUUAAAGGUCUGGAUCCUGGAUAAGCUUCAGAAUUCAGGAGUUGGAGGAAAUUGUGGAGGAGACCCCUGUGACUAUGCCAGAGGGCAACAAGUAGAGAAAGGGGAUUUCCCUUCCCCCUACCCUGGACUAUGUCAUCUGACCUACUGAGCAAGUAAAAAUCUCUGUAUCCAAUAAGAGGACAGAAACACACAGAUCAGACAUCUAAAAACAUAGAGACAUGGACAAAGUAGCUUGAGGGAAGAACCAGUUUCCAGGCAUAUGACUACUGACAAUCAAGAGACAGACCCUAGAAAGGAAUAGAACCUGGCAGCCCAGCUGGAAAACCUGCCCAGCAGUUACACUGUGACAAAGAGGAGCUACAUGAGUACUCUGCAAAGAAAGAAAAGGAUUCUAGGAUGCUCAGGACCAAGGGCUGUUCACUGUCUUUGACCUGCGUAUAUCCUACAAGGGUCCUUUGCUACCACUGUCCUCUGUUUGAGCCCAAUCUUCCCAUGGAUACUUCUGCCGCAUUGAGGAAGCAGCGAGGUACCAUGGAAAGAAUCCUGUGUUCUAGAGUCAGAAGAUUUGGAUUCAAAUUGUGUCUUCUCCUUAUUACCUAUGUGAAUUUGGAGUUCUGAGUUCGAGGUGGAGGUUGAUGAAGAAUCUGCUGACUGGACCUGAGACCUUAGUCUUGGUGAGACUGUUCUUAAAUCUCUCCCUUUGGACUGACACAUGGUGAGUGAAAAGAGCUGACUCCUUUCCUGGAUGUUCUGAAGAGACUAGCCUCAGGAGAGGCUUAUCCUCUUGAGAGAGGCUCCCUGUAUCCCGAGGCCUCUCUGCCUAAGGACUAAACUCCCCUGCCUGUUUUUGAACCAGGGGUCAGAGCAAAAUACUUAGUGCUUAGGCUAGAUAUCUUACCCUAUCCUCUCUCUGAUUUUCUUACUUCACUCUUUCUAUAUUUUAUAAAUAAAUUGUUAAAAUAAAUCUCUUUGGAAUUAAUU